rnacentral:rRNA from 1 species
GUGCCAGCAGCCGCGGUAAUACGUAGGGGGCAAGCGUUGUCCGGAAUUAUUGGGCGUAAAGCGCGCGCAGGCGGCUGUUUAAGUUUGGUGUUUAAUCCCGGGGCUCAACCCCGGAUCGCACUGAAAACUGGACGGCUUGAGUGUAGGAGAGGGAAGUGGAAUUCCACGUGUAGCGGUGAAAUGCGUAGAGAUGUGGAGGAACACCAGUGGCGAAGGCGACUUUCUGGCCUAUAACUGACGCUGAGGCGCGAAAGCGUGGGGAGCAAACAGGAUUAGAUACCCCAGUAGUCC